AUUGAACGCUGGCGGCAUGCUUUACACAUGCCAGUCGAACGGUAACAGGCCUUCGGGUGCUGACGAGUGGCGAACGGGUGAGUAAUGCAUCGGAACGUGCCCAGAGGUGGGGGAUAACGCAGCGAAAGCUGUGCUAAUACCGCAUGUGAUCUGAGGAUGAAAGCGGGGGACUAAGCAGCAAUGUUUGGCCUCGCGCCUCUGGAGCGGCCGAUGUCAGAUUAGGUAGUUGGUGGGGUAAAGGCCUACCAAGCCGACGAUCUGUAGCUGGUCUGAGAGGACGACCAGCCACACUGGGACUGAGACACGGCCCAGACUCCUACGGGAGGCAGCAGUGGGGAAUUUUGGACAAUGGGCGCAAGCCUGAUCCAGCAAUGCCGCGUGCGGGAAGAAGGCCUUCGGGUUGUAAACCGCUUUUGUACGGAACGAAAAGGCUCUGGCUAAUACCUGGGGCUGAUGACGGUACCGUAAGAAUAAGCACCGGCUAACUACGUG
rnacentral:rRNA from 1 species